rnacentral:rRNA from 1 species
GGGUUGUGAGGUUAAGCGACUAAGCGUACACGGUGGAUGCCUAGGCAAUCAGAGGCGAUGAAGGACGUGCUAAUCUGCGAUAAGCGUCGGUAAGGUGAUAUGAACCGUUAUAACCGACGAUUUC